GAAUCUUGCGCAAUGGGCGAAAGCCUGACGCAGCCAUGCCGCGUGAAUGAUGACGGUCUUAGGAUUGUAAAAUUCUUUCACGGGGGACGAUAAUGACGUUACCCGGAGAAGAAGCUCCGGCUAACUUCGUUCCAGCAGCCGCGGCAAUAUGAAGGGGGUCUGCGUUGCUCGGAAUUACUGGGCGUAAAGGGCGCGUAGGCGGAUCGUUAAGUCAGAGGUGAAAUCCCAGGGCUAAACCCUAGAACUGCCUUUGAUACUGGCGAUCUUGAGUAUGAGAGAGGUAUGUGGAACUCCGAGUGUAGAGGUGAAAUUCGUAGAUAUUCGGAAGAACACAAGUGGCGAAGGCGACAUACUGGCUCAUUACUGGCGCUGAGGCGCGAAAGCGUGGGGAGCAAACA
rnacentral:rRNA from 1 species